rnacentral:rRNA from 1 species
CUCGUAGGCGGUUCAGUAAGUCGGGUGUGAAAGCUCCGAGCUCAACUCGGAGAGGCCACUCGAUACUGCUGUGACUAGAAUCCAGUAGGGGAGCGUGGAACUCCUGGUGUAGCGGUGAAAUGCGCAGAUAUCAGGAAGAACACCAGCGGCGAAGGCGGCGCUCUGGGCUGGAAUUGACGCUGAGGAGCGAAAGUGUGGUAGCAAACA